rnacentral:rRNA from 1 species
CACGUAGGGGGCAAGCGUUGUCCGGAUUUAUUGGGCGUAAAGAGCGUGUAGGCGGCUUGGUAGGUCCGCUGUGAAAACUCGAGGCUCAACCUCGAGAUGUCGGCGGAAACCACUUGGCUAGAGUCCGGAAGAGGAGAGUGGAAUUCCCGGUGUAGCGGUGAAAUGCGCAGAUAUCGGGAAGAACACCCGUGGCGAAGGCGGCUCUCUGGGACGGUACUGACGCUGAGACGCGAAAGCGUGGGGAGCGAACAGG